AUACGGAGGGUGCGAGCGUUGUUCGGAAUUAUUGGGCGUAAAGAGCAUGUAGGCGGUCUGUUAAGUCUGGUGUGAAAGCCCGGGGCUCAACCCCGGAAGUGCACUGGAUACUGGCAGACUUGAGUAUGGGAGAGGAAAGCGGAAUUCCGAGUGUAGGAGUGAAAUCCGUAGAUAUUCGGAGGAACACCAGUGGCGAAGGCGGCUUUCUGGACCAAUACUGACGCUGAGAUGCGAAAGCGUGGGGAGCGAACAGGAUUAGAUACCCCAGUAGUCC
rnacentral:rRNA from 1 species